rnacentral:rRNA from 1 species
UGGAAAGGAAGAACGUCGUAACUACGGUUUCCGUUAGGUGAACCUGCGGAAGGAUCAUGGAACCCACGAUUUCGGAAAGAUCCUGCGAACUCUAUUUUGUAAAACGAGGGACCGUGCCGGAGGCACGGUCGACGACGCCGAAGUCAGGAGUCAUGUGCGUUGUGCCCGUGACUCGCCCCGCUGGUGCGUGACCGGGAUAAGCAGCACUGGGGUUUGGUAGUCGGACCGCCCCUGACACGCGUGGUUUAGGUCCUCCCGGGACUCGAGGCUGGGAGUCGGUCCCCUCCUUCCUGGGGUUCCUGGAAGGGGGGGAAACGUAACAAGGUUUCCGUAGGUGAACCUGCGGAAGGAUCAUUG